rnacentral:rRNA from 1 species
CGGAGGAUCCAAGCGUUAUCCGGAAUCAUUGGGUUUAAAGGGUCCGUAGGCGGUUUAAUAAGUCAGUGGUGAAAGCCUAUCGCUCAACGAUAGAACGGCCAUUGAUACUGUUAGACUUGAAUUAGUGGGAAGUAACUAGAAUAUGUAGUGUAGCGGUGAAAUGCUUAGAUAUUACAUGGAAUACCAAUUGCGAAGGCAGGUUACUAUCACUAUAUUGACGCUGAUGGACGAAAGCGUGGGGAGCGAACAGGAUUAGAUACCCUGGUAGUCCACGCCGUAAACGAUGGAUACUAGCUGUUCGGAGCAAUCUGAGUGGCUAAGCGAAAGUGAUAAGUAUCCCACCUGGGGAGUACGUUCGCAAGAAUG